GAAUUUCAACACAGCUUUUCACAUACAUUUUUUCCUUAACAUCCUUCUUUAAAGGGAAAGUGGAUGAAGUACAAUGUUGACAAAGGAAUCCGUCCAGGCCUUCAUGAGUCUAAGACCAUUUUAUGGAUGACUCACAUAGAAUACAUUAUGUCCUGCUCCUUUAAGUCCGCCAGCAUAUUUUUUGCCUUUGUUUUCUUGAACAGGCAGCUUAACUGCUUUGUUGGCAGAGGACGUGAGUGCACAACUCUUAAUAAUGGGACAUGGAUUGGAGAAAAUAUCAAUCAGAUCAGCCAACAAUACAGAAGCCAAAUUUACCAAGUACUUAGAAGUGAGUGAUUUCAAAACAGAACUUGUAGCAGCAGGUCACAAACAUGCAUUUUGUUGAUUGAUUGGCCCACUACAUGGAAAGAGUUGGACAGCCCGGCCCUGAAGGAAUUAACAAGGAAUCUCUAGUGUGAAGCACAGCUUUUGGUUUAUAUGUUUUAUGUAUACAUCUAAAUGCUAAUACUGUUGUUGAUAUUCAAUUUAUAAUAAAAACAAAGCUUUUGCAAGUUU